GAGUGAGAGUGCUGACGAGCAGCGGACGGCUAAGUAAUGCGUAGGAAUAUACCCUAAAGUGAGGAAUAACUGCCCGAAAGGGUUGCUAAUACCGCAUGUGCCCAAUUUAUUGGGUAAAGCUUUUUAGCGCUUUAGGAAUAGCCUACGUUCGAUUAGCUAGUUGGUGAGGUAAUGGCUUACCAAGGCUACGAUCGAUAGCUGGUCUGAGAGGAUGACCAGCCAGACUGGAACUGAGAUACGGUCCAGACUCC
rnacentral:rRNA from 1 species